rnacentral:rRNA from 1 species
GGGUUGUGAGGUUAAGCGACUAAGCGUACACGGUGGAUGCCCUGGCAGUCAGAGGCGAUGAAGGACGUGCUAAUCUGCGAUAAGCGUCGGUAAGGUGAUAUGAACCGUUAUAACCGGCGAUUUCCGAAUGGGGAAACCCAGUGUGAUUCGUCACACUAUCAUUAACUGAAUCCAUAGGUUAAUGAGGCGAACCGGGGGAACUGAAACAUCUAAGUACCCCGAGGAAAAGAAAUCAACCGAGAUUCCCCCAGUAGCGGCGAGCGAACGGGGAGGAGCCCAGAGCCUGAAUCAGUGUGUGUGUUAGUGGAAGCGUCUGGAAAGGCGCGCGAUACAGGGUGACAGCCCCGUACACAAAAAUGCACAUGCUGUGAGCUCGAUGAGUAGGGCGGGACACGUGGUAUCCUGUCUGAAUAUGGGGGGACCAUCCUCCAAGGCUAAAUACUCCUGACUGACCGAUAGUGAACCAGUACCGUGAGGGAAAGGCGAAAAGAACCCCGGCGAGGGGAGUGAAAAAGAACCUGAAACCGUGUACGUACAAGCAGUGGGAGCACAGAGCAAUCUGUGUGACUGCGUACCUUUUGUAUAAUGGGUCAGCGACUUAUAUUCUGUAGCAAGGUUAACCGAAUAGGGGAGCCGAAGGGAAACCGAGUCUUAACUGGGCGUUAAGUUGCAGGGUAUAGACCCGAAACCCGGUGAUCUAGCCAUGGGCAGGUUGAAGGUUGGGUAACACUAACUGGAGGACCGAACCGACUAAUGUUGAAAAAUUAGCGGAUGACUUGUGGCUGGGGGUGAAAGGCCAAUCAAACCGGGAGAUAGCUGGUUCUCCCCGAAAGCUAUUUAGGUAGCGCCUCGUGAAUUCAUCUCCGGGGGUAGAGCACUGUUUCGGCAAGGGGGUCAUCCCGACUUACCAACCCGAUGCAAACUGCGAAUACCGGAGAAUGUUAUCACGGGAGACACACGGCGGGUGCUAACGUCCGUCGUGAAGAGGGAAACAACCCAGACCGCCAGCUAAGGUCCCAAAGUCAUGGUUAAGUGGGAAACGAUGUGGGAAGGCCCAGACAGCCAGGAUGUUGGCUUAGAAGCAGCCAUCAUUUAAAGAAAGCGUAAUAGCUCACUGGUCGAGUCGGCCUGCGCGGAAGAUGUAACGGGGCUAAACCAUGCACCGAAGCUGCGGCAGCGACGCUUAUGCGUUGUUGGGUAGGGGAGCGUUCUGUAAGCCUGCGAAGGUGUGCUGUGAGGCAUGCUGGAGGUAUCAGAAGUGCGAAUGCUGACAUAAGUAACGAUAAAGCGGGUGAAAAGCCCGCUCGCCGGAAGACCAAGGGUUCCUGUCCAACGUUAAUCGGGGCAGGGUGAGUCGACCCCUAAGGCGAGGCCGAAAGGCGUAGUCGAUGGGAAACAGGUUAAUAUUCCUGUACUUGGUGUUACU